GAAGAAGUUCAGCAGACUUUUAAGACGCUCCAGGGGCAGGCUAGGGAUUUCACCCAUGAACCCUAAUAUCCCAUUAUAUAGCAUGUAAAUGAAUCUUGCAAUGAAGACGUGAAGAUAGAAAGGCAGAUUGAAUGUGAAUAAUGGUGGGAGUCUCCAGGUUGCAGAUGAAGCAUCGGUGUGUUUCAAUUUCAUCUCAAGUUCAUCAUGGUUGAAACACACAAGACACAUCUCACCAAUUUUGAAUGCCAGAGCAACACAAAGUUUCAACAACAACACUGAUUUAGACUGUUAUUUGUUUGAUUUCUUCAAUUUCAUCUCAUCAAUCCGACCACCUGCUUAGGUUUUCCUCAACUCUUCUGCUGUACAGAGUCAUCACCGGCAGGUUUUGGCUGUUGAUUUUGCUCUCUAAGCAAGGGUUUGUUGUUGAGUAAUCCAAUAUGGAUUCAGAUUUCAGAAACAUGUAAGGGUGGGGCUACGGAUGUUUUACCACAACCACCACCUGUUCCAGAAGACCUCGUUCCAAUCAAAGCUGAGCCAGAAGCCAAGAAGAAGGUCAUGCGUGUACCCAUGGCUAGGACGGACUCCAACGACCUGAAACAUCAAAUCAUAUAUUGGUUUCUUGUGAUGUAGCGAGAACCAUUUGGUUUGUCGUAGCAUCUUUGAUAGCCAUCUUCCCAGCCAACGGUCACUAGCGAUGGAUAGGAGAACCAGUGGGUUAAAUCUGACUGGAAGCAAGAUGAGAACAUUGCUGUCAUUUUUAGUGAUGCUAAGGCACAAGAAGCGUGUUGGGUAAACAGGAAAUGACACUGAAACUCAAAGCUCUGGAAAUAUUGGUCAAGAUCAACUGCCCAAAUGCUACUCAGAGUUCUUAUUAAUGAUUGCAGCCCAUCUAUAUCAAUAGAUAACAUCAGGCUUAAUAAAUGAGGGGAGGCGUCAAACGCAGCCCACGACGAAGGUGAAGAAGAAGAGAAAAUUGAGGGAGUAGUGGUGGCGGCUCCUCGUAGAAUGACAAGACGCGAUAUCUAAUGACAGAUGCACUGUUGAAGAAUCUAUAGUUAGUAGCUUUCUUUGAGUGGUUUAAUUGUUCGGUUCGGUUAAGGUUGGUUUAAUUCGGUUAUAUACUCACUCCUAGAACAUACAUAUACUUGUAAUACUAAAGCAGUCAGCUAGACUUUCUCUGCGUAUGUUUGACCUUAUAGGUUCAAUGACUAUUUUUUGUUGAAUGACAUAAAAUGUUAGA
rnacentral:lncRNA from 1 species